rnacentral:rRNA from 1 species
CGGCGGACGGGUGAGUAACGCGUGGGUAACCUACCCCAAAGUCCGGGAUAACAGCGGGAAACCGCUGCUAAUACCGGAUGUCUUUACCUUGGGGCAUCUUGAGGUAAAGAAAGGUAACGCUUUGGGAUGGGCCCGCGUCCCAUUAGCUAGUUGGUGAGGUAACGGCUCACCAAGGCGACGAUGGGUAGCCGGCCUGAGAGGGUGGACGGCCACACUGGGACUGAGACACGGCCCAGACUCCUACGGAAGGCAGCAGUAGGGAAUAUUGCGCAAUGGACGGAAGUCUGACGCAGCGACGCCGCGUGAGCGAUGAAGGUCUUCGGAUCGUAAAGCUCUGUCCUUGGGGAAGAAGGCGAAAGCUUGACGGUACCCAAGAAGAAAGCCCCGGCUAACUACGUGCCAGCAGCCGCGGUAAUACGUAGGGGGCGAGCGUUGUCCGGAAUUACUGGGCGUA